GUAUGUGAACCUGCGGAAGGAUCAUUGUCGAGGCCCGUCGAGCAGUGAGACCCGCGAACCGAUGACCCUAACGAGACGCGGGUGGCUCGGGGAGUGUAGCUCUGCCCGCUCUCCUAGGGGACCACGCUACGAAACACCCCCGGCGCAAUGGGCGCCAAGGAAUUGAGUUGGAAUGAGCGUGGCUCCCUUCGGGGACGCCAGCGCGUGUUUGAAACUUACACGACUCUCGGCAAUGGAUAUCUCGGCUCUCACAUCGAUGAAGUAUGUAGCAAAAUGCAAUACUUGGUGUGAAUGGUAGAAUCCCGUGAACCAUCAAGUCUUUAAACGUAAGUUGCACCCGAGCCCACCCGGCUAAGGGCAAGCCUUCCUGGGCGUCACGCACUGUGCUACCCCACCUGGUGCUCGACCCAUUCGGCGGUGGUGCCGCGGGGUAGAGACUAGCCACCCGUGCGCCACGUACGCGCGGCCGGCUGAAAAGUAUUCGCUCCCCCGCUGGGUCGCGGAUGCUACGGAAAGUAGUUUAAGAGGCGGCUGCCUCGUCAGAGCCCGCAUGCCGCGUCCCCAUCGCCCCGUGCCCGGGGGCAAGCAGAGCGAAGUGGCACACAACUCAGCCACCCCGAUCGGCCCUGGCACAGCGACCCCAAGUCAGGUGGGGACACCCGCUGAGUUUAAGCAUAU
rnacentral:misc_RNA from 1 species